rnacentral:rRNA from 1 species
AGCCUUUAGUAAACAUUAAAGGUGACGUCUGCCCAGUGAUCAAAAUUGAUUUAACGGCCGCGGAUGACGUGCUAAGGUAGCGUAAUCACUUGUCUCUUUAUUGGGGACCUGUAUGAAAGGCAUUACGAUAGCCCCACUGUCUCACCCCAACCCUUUGAAGUUGACUUGUAGGUGAAAAGGCCUACAUAUAGUCGGAGGACAAGAAGACCCUAUAGAGUUUUAGCGGAGAUGGCCUCAUCAAGAGGGCACAUUGUAAGGUAGACCUACCGGGGAGGUCAUUACGCUUUAAUUGGGGCAAUUAAGGAACAUAGCAAAAUUCCUGGAAUAAGCAAUCACGUUAGUGAUCUAGUUGAUCCCUGAAGGGAAUCGAGAAUAAACUACCUUAGGGAUAACAGCGUAAUCCUAUCUAAGAGAUCUAAUCGCAGGUAGGGUUUGCGACCUCGAUGUUGGAUUAGGGUAUCCGGAAGGUGCAGCAGCUUUCAACGGUGGGCCUGUUCGGCCUAUAACACCCUACAU